GGUGAACGCUGGCGGCGUGCCUAAUACAUGCAAGUCGAGCGAACGGACGAGAAGCUUGCUUCUCUGAUGUUAGCGGCGGACGGGUGAGUAACACGUGGAUAACCUACCUAUAAGACUGGGAUAACUUCGGGAAACCGGAGCUAAUACCGGAUAAUAUUUUGAACCGCAUGGUUCAAAAGUAAAAGACGGUCUUGCUGUCACUUAUAGAUGGAUCCGCGCUGCAUUAGCUAGUUGGUAAGGUAACGGCUUACCAAGGCAACGAUGCAUAGCCGACCUGAGAGGGUGAUCGGCCACACUGGAACUGAGACACGGUCCAGACUACUACGGGAGGCAGCAGUAGGGAAUCUUCCGCAAUGGGCGAAAGCCUGACGGAGCAACGCCGCGUGAGUGAUGAAGGUCUUCGGAUCGUAAAACUCUGUUAUUAGGGAAGAACAUAUGUGUAAGUAACUGUGCACAUCUUGACGGUACCUAAUCAGAAAGCCACGGCUAACUACGUG
rnacentral:rRNA from 1 species